CUCAUUGCUCAUUAGUCCAGCCCGUUCUAUGAUACCCAGUCCCGCACUGAAGAAAGGGGAGCGCUCCCUGCGAUCGCCUGGCCAGAUGGCAAAGAUAUGGCAAACAAACAAACCAAUAACCGAACGAAAUUAGAGAGCGGCAGGCUCCAGAGGAGAGGAGAGGAGAGGAGAGGAGAGGAGAGCGGAGUGACGAAGUCGAGGAGCGAGUGCUGAACGGCAACCUCGUUCUGGAGCCGCCUGCACUGCUCUUUUUUACUGUUCACUCACUGACUCCUCUCUUUCCGCAAGUGGAGGCUGCUGCCAGAGCCUCUGCACCCCGAAACAAUAGAGCCAGCGCACACACACACACACACACACACACACACACACACACACACACUUGCUCUCACACUCGCAGCUGGAUGCUGUUCGCUCUGGGCCAUGCAGCUUGCUGUACCUGAGAAUCCUCCCUGGAUGAAGCCUCAGGUUGAGAUGCACCAAGGGAAGUGGCGACAUCCAUUUUUUAGCCACCAGCCACCAGCCAGGGAGACUUGGGGCACUGGGAGAGAUGCCAGCUUUUUCCCAGCCUCAGCGGGAAGGAUGAGGAUUUGUUAAGAUCUCCGCUGCGCGCCGGUCGCCGGUCGCAUGGUCGCUGGGGUGGCAUGGUUAACCCAAAAUGCGAUGGAUAACCACUAUGCCCUGGCAUCGUCUCUCCUCUCCUCUCCUUCUGGACCUCCUCAGGGGAGAGACAGGCAGGAGACAGACCUGGGUGAUCACUUCACGGGCUGCUACCCAGGACUGGCUAGACUGGCUAGACUCUCACAGGGGGUUUGUCGGCAUGUCUCUCACCUCCACUGGACACACACACACUCACACACACACACACACACACACACACACACACAGCUUGGAGACGAGGACGCCAGAGGACACACCUGUCACUCAGAGCUGAGGACGUCACCUCAUGUCCAGGUGCACCCUGGGGAUUUCUAUCCUUCUCAAUCCAUCAGAGGAGAUUUUGUCCAGAGGAUAUAAACAUCUCCGUGACGAGUCUGUGAACUGUGUGCGGAGGUCCGUCGGUCACAUUCAGAGAGAAACUGGACACAAGUGUACGGGCUUUGCAGUGUGACUUUCCCAUGGCUGGCUAACUCCGGACCAGCAUCAUCGACAAGCAGGAAGAAAAGGAGAUAUCGUUUAGAAGGAGAUGAGACGGAACCUGUUGGCGGAACGGGUGUUGUUGCUGAGUGGGUUCUCUGUGUUUUAAAUUCUAUUUUUUAAGCCUCAGAUGAAGUGUUUAUAAUGGUUUUUAUACACUCUGACUUCUGUCAAUCCUGUAACUCCCAGAGGGAUUAGGGAGAAAGGGACAUUUGAAAGGUCACUGUGCAAGUGUUUUUAAUGACACGCUUUUUCAACAUUAAAACAUUCUUUUAAAUGGCAAAAA